rnacentral:rRNA from 1 species
UACGUAGGGGGCGAGCGUUGUCCGGAUUUAUUGGGGGUAAAGAGCGUGUAGGCGGCCAGGUAGGUGGGUUGUGAAAACUGGAGGCUCAACCUUCAGACGUCGACCCAAACCCCCUGGCUAGAGUCCGGAAGAGGAGAGUGGAAUUCCUGGUGUAGCGGUGAAAUGCGUAGAUAUCAGGAGGAACACCGGUGGUGUAGACGGCUCUCUGGACCGUAACUGACGCUGAGACACGAAAGCGUGGGUAGCAAACAGG